GCUGUGCCAUUCUGCCCCCCGCCACUCCAGUGCCGCGUGGCCUGGUUGGCAGGACUGCGCUGUCCCCUGCGGGCACCAGCAUCACCCUCGCGUCCUGGCACACAGCCCUCCUCCUGGAGGUGCCCGUUUUCUCCUCUGUGUCUCCUGGGGGCUCUGUGAGUCCCUGACACAUUCUGCCUUUUUCCCCACCUGCUUUGUGUCCCUCCUCAAGGGCAGCGCCAGGCGAGUCCACCUCCCCACUCCCUGCAGCAGGGCUCAGCCGGCCAGGCGCAGGUCAGUGCCAGGGAGCCUCCCAGACCCCUCUGUGUGCUCAGAAAGGGACAGCAGUUUGUCACCUGGGGCCCGCACGGCUCUCCUUGGCCCCGGGACAUCUCCUUGGAGGCCCGCGUUGUUCUGUUUUUGGAGCGUUUCAUCGAGGAUAUUCUGGAAACUUCAGCAAACAUUCCCCAAAGUGUCCUUUCCCACUGAGUCCACAGGCCCCGCGGGGAGACUCCACUCACUCUGCCGUUUAGCGUUCAGGUUGGUUUUGGGGGAGUUACACACAAGGUGGAGCUGACUCAGCUCGGGGACACAGGCUCCUUCUCACCGCCAUGGGGCCACCGCCACCGCCCAGCUCCAGAGCUCCCUCCAGCUUCCUGGUCUUCCCGGGAAACUGUCCCCGCUGAGCGCCCCGCCACCUGCCCCGCCCCACAGCAGGCUCUCCUCUGCCUCCUGAGUGACCCCUCCAGGGGCGAGUCCGUGGCGUCGUGGAGAGGCUGUUGCCCGGAGAGCCAGGGCACUUAGGGGAGCCACCUGUCCCUUGGUGUCUGAGUCUGGCUGCUUCUCCGAGCUCGGAGUCUCGGGGUUCACCUCGGUGGAAGGCUGAGGGCACCCCGUGUCCAGCUGUCUCCUUUCUUGCGGGGCUUGGGGGACAGGCUGGCCCGGGCCUGGUGGGCGCCCCAGGGCUGCGCUCUGUCCUCCCCAGCCGCCACCUGGGGCCCCCUCUGACCUGACCCCCACUGCCAGCCCAGCCACCGUCCCCAUCGCUCCGGCCCUUUCCCC
rnacentral:lncRNA from 1 species